UUUUUUUUAUUUGAAUGGCAUCCACUGGUUCACUCCCCAAAUGGCCACAACUGCUGGAGCUAGACCAAACUGAAGCCAAGAACCAGGAGCGUCUUCCAGAUCUCCCAGCAGGGCUGGGCCCAGAGCUGAAACCAGGAGGCAGGAAUUCAGUCCAGGUCUCCCAUAUGGGUGGCAGGCAUCCAGUCACAGCUGUGUCUCCCAGAGUCCUCAUAAGCAGAAAACUGGAGUCAUCCGGAGCCAGAGUGGAUUGAACCCAAGCAGUUCAAUGCUCCUUCCCCAACUCUUGAAAACAGGUCCAGAAGCCUGGUUUUUCUCAGUGCAACCUGAAUCCAUCAACAGAAAAGGACUAAUUCGUGGGAGCCAAACCCUCAAGGACAGACGAGCAUCUGGUAAAGCAGCAUGCAGUGGGAGCAUCACCUGGUGGAAUAUCAUAGGAUUGGAUUGGAUUCGGAACAGGUGUGGAACUCCUCAUGGGGGCUCUCAGAAAUAAUUGAGUUGGGGAUGUACUUUGCAGGAGGCUGGAGUUUGUGCAAGCAGUUGAAGGCCAGAGCCAGCGCAAUUUGACUUCUACAGAAACUGUUCAUUUUAACUCAGGAUUUCCUCACAGAUCUCCCAUAGAAAGCUAAAAGAGGGCUAAAAGUAUCCGUGUUCUAUGCCUGUGAAAUCUUCUGCUCAGAGCUAAUUUUGAUGCAGCUAACAAUAAAC